rnacentral:lncRNA from 1 species
CCCGACUCACCUAAAGAAUAAAAAGGUAAUUCAAUAUUAAUUUUCUAGUGAAAUAAAUUAAUACUUGUGUCUCGAUUUUAUUCUGGGCUGAAUAAGAAAAUCGAGCACUGGGAGGCCAAACUUUAUUCAAGCUAGUAGAUCCCCGCUUAGCCCAAUAAAGGCUUAGCUUCUUAUGGGCGUCCGCUGCUCUAUUUCUCCUUAAGCCUUUGAGUUUUGUCUUAGUUUAAUUAGAUGAUUGCCUUAUUAUUUAGGGUUUUAAUACCCAGAAUAAAUAAUAGGUACAACCCUAAUUCUAAUUAGUUGUGACAUUACGUGAGACAAAAAAAUAGAGAAAUCUGUGAGAACACAGAAAGUGAGAGGCGGCGCGCAUCCCUAGAAAAGGGGAGGACUUGAAGUUCGUAGCCACCCUACGUCAAGCCUUCCCGUGGAAAACAAGUCGGAAGAUUCACUCUGGAGUCGCUCAUCAUCGGAUUUGCAAGUAAGAUUCGUUCUCUUGUAAUAGGCACGUGAUUUUUGUAUGUAUUCGUUUGGUAUCCGGAAUUGGUCACGGGCACGUGAAUCAUAUAUCAAAAUAUGGUUCUUUCAUCAAGGAGAGGAGGGCAAUGUGCGCCACUUAGAGGGCGGCUCGAAGCUGAAGGUCUUACCGAGCCAAUCACACGGGAAUUCAAGAAUCCCCAUUUCUGGGAAUUUUGAGAAGCCACUGAAAAUAAUGGCAAAUUGCCUUCUCCCAUCGGGAGAGAAAUCUACUUCGAUGUAGAACCCUUGCUCUGCCGCAUCACACCAUAGAGCAUCCCACGUCGAUGUUAGGCUCCAACAGUGUCUUGCCGGAAUCCUCUUCCUCAACCAACAAUUCCCUCAAUCAAUGAACCCCCGCAAGAUUUUUGGACAUCGAUAUGCCCUCGCACAAAAUCAAAUAAAAUCAUAAGUAAAUGUACAUAGAGUAAGCGAAAAUUAAGGGAUUGAGCUUGGCAUGAAGGUAAUUGAUAAAACUCUCCCGAAAUGAACGUGUUUUCCAUCAUGUUUAAGUUAAAAUCAAGCUAUGAGGACUCAACCCACAAAUUGGAGCAUGUUUAAGAACUUUGAGAUUAUAUCUCUAUCAUGAAUCACAUCCCGAAGUUUAAAUGAAAUAAUUAGACAAACCAUUGCUCCCUUGUUGAAUUUUCGAAUGCAUAAAACAUGCAAAAUCAUUAAUCAAAAUAGGUCAAUAUGACAAAUUGUCCGUUCAUCCUCAAUAACACAUUGUAUUCUUUCCUGGAUAAGUCAAGCAUUAAAGUUCAUUAUCUAUAUUAUCUAUAUCCAUUUACUUGAGUUUCCUCUGCCCGAAACAAACAAAUAAACAAACUAGAAGAGCAUGGUUAACAAUCAACAAUCACUCAUUUGCCACACAUAUUCAAAGGACAAAUGAUUCUUAAUUCGACAUAAUCAGUGGUCAACCAUCAUGAGCUGAGCAUAAGACCAACAUUCGAAGAGGACUUGAUCCUUAAUCGGUUCCUUCCUCUAACUUUACUGAAUUCACAGAUAAAGUAUGAAAUAAUAGCGCAAUCCCAAAUGUAGUUAUUAACAACGCCCAGUGGAUAAUCCCAACAAAUAUUAACAUGAAACCUCUACUGCAAUAUCACGAAAGAUUUAUUUAAACAGCCAAUAAUCAUUGAAUUUCACAGAAGAAGUAGGAGUUAAGGGGCUUAAUCCCUCAGUCACAGCAAAUCAAUACCUAUCUUAUUUAAUCUCCCAUUAACUAAUUCAAAUAAUGUCGGCAAAUCAACCACGUCGGUAUAAAUGUCAAUAUAGAAAGAGCGGCGCCGAGACCUAACAUAUAAAACCAGAGUGAUAAACUUUACGAGUAAACAACAGCCCCUUCAUAACACAGAGCUAUACACUGUUAGUAAGUUCAUAUGUCCAAAAAUAAAAUCAGAACCCCAAUUCGGUGGAGGAAAGUGUAGAAAUGCACUUAGCUGAAUUAAAUAGAAGUCCCUAAAAAUGAAAAUAGCUUGUGGGCUGUUGCUGCGCACUGCUUAACCCAAAGGUAUGGGGUUUUCUGGCAUGGGGAGUUCAGAGAAGGCGAAAUUCAUCGAGCAGCCAGAAGUCGCUGGUGAUUACCCCCUCGAAUGAAAUCAUAAGAGAUUAUAACUGAAAUAAACAAGCGAAAUUGAAGGGCUGAUUCCAGUAAAUUAGAAAAAUCCCUCGACAACGUAAUUUCGACAUAAAUCGGCGCGCUGCGGAGCCUUCAACACCACUGACGAAAUGGAAAUGGAGGAGGCAGGGUUCUCCCACGUCGUGACCCCGGACGCGGCGAUGGCGUGGCGGCGCGGACCAGCCCUGGCCGUGACCGGUGGUGCGAGCGACUCCCGCGCGGCGGUGGUGCGCAACAUCCUGACGACGUUUGAUGCAGAAGCGGCUUAGGGCACUGGAUUUGCGAAUAUCCUUAUGGCUCUUCUCUGAUUUGGGAAUUUACUGAGAACUGGAGAUUUUCCUAAAAAUCGAAAGGUGAUUUUCAUUGGGUCCCUAAUUAGGGAUCUGAUUGAUUCUCGCCGGGAAUCCUUGGCCAAGAAAAGUUUUCUCCCCUUUUUUGGUAAUUCUGCAAUGCCCUUUUUUCCUGGAACUUUCGGAGAGAAAAAAAAAAAAAACUCAAAAUCAAAAACUAUUUUAUAUCUAGGCUCGAUUAGACAAUUGGAAUUGGGGCCUAGGUGAAUUGCCAUUCUCUGUGUGCCAAGAGAUCCGAUGGGUAUGGAUUUUUUGCUCUCCUGAUUUAGCUCCCUGACUUCUAAGAUCGAACUGAUCCCCUUUCUCUUUCCCCCAACAAAAACCUUCCCCGUCGCCGGAAAGCCUUCGCUCGGCUCGUUUUCUUCCUAUUUUUUCUUCCUUUUUUUCUUUUCGAUGAACAGUGAUCUAGCCCCCAAUCCCUCCGAACCCGGUAACUUCCAUCUUGCACCUA